rnacentral:lncRNA from 1 species
GUACAAUUUAAAAAUACCUCUAAAUAUAAUACAGGAACACCCUUUAAAACAAAUCUGGACAGGCGUUUCCACCCUCCACCCCCCCCCCCCAAAAAAAAAAAAUAAUAUAAAUCAACCCUCAAUUCAUCAAAUUGUAGUCAUACAAUAGUUACUGAAGACCCUUUGUCAUUAUUUCCAUUAGUUUUCAAGUUGUUACCGUUUGGAAUUGUUGGGUGUUUUUUCAAUUUUCAAUAGACUUCUUUAGUAAACCACACUGUUUUGACACCAAAAUGCACUUCUUCCGAGUUGUUGCAAAACUUAAAGUGCUAAGGAUUAUUUAGGAACACAGACCUACGAUAUUGCGUAUGGUAAAGACAGCUAUUUCGCAUUUUAGCAACUUCUAUGGCAACGGUAGCCAUCUUGAAAAUAUCAUACCCCGUCAAAAUAUCUGCACAGCCGGUAAACAUUAUUGUUAAACAUUAUUGUUUAGUUCAA